AUUGAACGCUGGCGGCAGGCCUAACACAUGCAAGUCGAACGGUAACAGGAAACAGCUUGCUGUUUCGCUGUCGCGUGGCGGACGGGUGUGUAAUGUCUGGGAAACUGCCUGAUGGAGGGGGCAAAUUACUGGAAACGGUAGCUAAUACCGCAUAACGUCGCAAGCCCAUAGUGGGGGACCCUCGGGCCUCUUUCCAUCGGCUGGGUCCGGAUGGGAUUCGCUUGUUGGUGGGGUAACGGCUCACCAAGGCGACGAUCCCUAGCUGGUCUGAGAGGAUGAUCAGCCACACUGGAACUGAGACACGGUCCAGACUCCUACGGGAGGCAGCAGUAGGGAAUAUUGCACAAUGGGCGCAAGCCUGAUGCAGCCACGCCGCGUGUAUGAAGAAGGCCUUCGGGUUGUAAAGUACUUUCAGCGGGGAGGAAGGGAGUAGUGUUAAUACCUUUGCUCAUUGACGUUACCCGCAGAAGAAGCACCGGCUAACUCCGUG
rnacentral:rRNA from 1 species